rnacentral:rRNA from 1 species
CCUACGGGGUGCAGCAGUGGGGAAUAUUGGACAAUGGGCGAAAGCCUGAUCCAGCCAUGCCGCGUGUGUGAAGAAGGCCUUCGGGUUGUAAAGCACUUUCAGUGGGGAAGAAAGCCUUGGGGCUAAUACCCUCGAGGAAGGACAUUACCCACAGAAGAAGCACCGGCUAACUCCGUGCCAGCAGCCGCGGUAAUACGGAGGGUGCGAGCGUUAAUCGGAAUUACUGGGCGUAAAGCGCGCGUAGGCGGUCUGAUAAGCCGGUUGUGAAAGCCCCGGGCUCAACCUGGGAACGGCAUCCGGAACUGUCAGGCUAGAGUGCAGGAGAGGAAAGUAGAAUUCCCGGUGUAGCGGUGAAAUGCGUAGAGAUCGGGAGGAAUACCAGUGGCGAAGGCGGCCUUCUGGACUGACACUGACGCUGAGGUGCGAAAGCGUGGGUAGCAAACAGGAUUAGAUACCCCGGUAGUC